UUUAAAAGAAGAAUGUGCAAAGGGAAUCAUCGCCCUAUUCCCAUACUUGGUUGACCCCAGGAGCAAGUUUGGUUAUGUUGGGACAGCGACAUGUCUUCCAUUCAGGUGCUGCUUCACCUUUUGCCACCCUCAAGUCAAUGCCGCAAAAGACCAGGAAAGAUCUCAGCUAGACAAGCAUGUGAUCGUCUUGUGAAAUUCAUCAAGACUGUUACCAGUAUCCAAGGGCACUUGGAUAGCAUUGGAGAGUCUCCAGCUGUAUCUACUUGUUGGGCUGAAGAGAAGUAGGGUCCAGUCUUGUUUUAUUGUAAUUGUCCAACAUGCUCUACCCUGUAAGGCCUCUAAUUCACUGGCCUGUGUUGAUGAGCUUUUCAAAGCUCACUUUGUCUUAAGAACUUCAUACUGUCAGGAAUUGACCAUUGUGUAUAGCUUUCUGUAAAACACUGCCUAUGAUAUAGAUGCUGAAACCAUCAAGUGAUCAUAAUCACAAGUGAAUUAAAUGUAAUACUGUUUAAAUAGGAGCUUGAAAAAUAAAAUUGAGA